rnacentral:lncRNA from 10 species
UGUGGAAGCAAUUCCAUUCCCACAUAUUUAUCCAAGGAUAAAGGAAACAUGUGAACAUAAGAAGACCUCUAUGUGAAUGUGAUAUGAGAGGGGGGCAGGAAAGUGCCGGUUAGAGAAGGACAGGGUCCCAGGCCAGGGCUCCACCCUAGGGGUAGUGUCCACGGACUUAAGUGAAACCAGGCGCUCCUGUUUUCAUGCCCACAUGCUUCAUUUUGCACCUGGCCCGCCUGUGUGAUCCUGUGCCCAUUUAAACCCAUGUGAUGAUCCACUCACAUGGCAGGUCUUUUCAAAGAGGGACAACCACUCUAUAGGGUAGCAAGAUCAGUCACACCAUUCAUUAAAGAAGACUUUCCUCCCAGGGCUCAAGAAGCGUGUAAACUCUACCAAAAGACGCAUCAUUUACCUUGAUAGGACUAUAAUUGUAACUCAUUGAUUCCACAAAGAGCUACUGAGCACUUUCAAAGUGCCAGCCACUGUUUCAUGCACUGGCAUUCCAGUGGUAAACAAGAAAAAAAGAUAGGGAAGGACAUUUAUCCUCAAGAAGCAAAAAUGCUGGUCUGGCUCAGUUUAUGCAAGUGCUGCCAAGAGUGAGCCGGUGCUUUUCUAGCAUCAUCUCUCCUUCUUAUAUGUUUUUUGUCUAUAAUAAAAAUAACCUUAAUAUUUUAUAAUAAUGGGAACAAAGUUUUUUAAAAGAAAAAUAGGAUUUCAAAGAAUCAAAAGGAAGAUGUUAGAAUCACCUGUAUUCCCACUUCUCCGAGGUAAUUGCUGUUAGUAUUCUGGAAGAAGCUGCAUUUCAGAGGUAUUAGUAACUGUCCCAGAUCACAUAGCUCAUACUGGCAGAGCCAGGAUUCAAACCUGCAUGACCACCCAGCACAACCUCCCUGUAAAGGCCCUGAAAUGUCCAGUAACAGCUGGCUCGAGGACUGCCCACUUAUCAUUCACCCUUUGUCAGGGGUUGGGCAGCACCUGCAGCAGACACCCUGGCAAGAUCUUGCUAUGUUUCCCAGGCUGGACUUCAACUCCUGGGCUCAAGUGAUCCUCCUGUCUCGGCCUCCCAAGUACCUGGGACUACAGAUGUGCACCGCUUAGUCAAUUUUUCUUUAUUUUUAUUAAAGUAUAAUUGGCUUAUAUUAAAUUGCAUAUAUUAACAUGUAAUAUUUAAUAAAUCUUGAUAUUUAUGCACCCAUUAAUCUAUCACACUAUUAAAUAUAUGUGCAAUGUAUUUUUCUCUCCUCAAAUUUUUCUUGUGUUUUUUUUUAAUUCUUUCCUUCUUCCCCUCCCUGUCCAACACUCCUUCUGCCUCCAGUUCUCUAGUAACUAUUAAUCUGAUUUCUGUCAUUACAUAUCAGUUGUACUAUUUAGAAUUUUAUAUAACUGGAAUUGUCAACUAUGUACUCUUAUUUUUGCCUGGUUUCUUUCCCAAGAAUAAUGAAGAUUCAUCUAUGCUGUUACACAUAUCAACAGUUCUCUUAUCAUUGCAGUGUAGUAUUUCAGUAUAUAGAUUACUAUUCAUAUGCUGAUGGUAUUUUAGUGGUUUGGAGGUGUUUUAUAUAAAGCUUCCAUAAAUAUUUGUGUACAAUUUUUUUGUGUGGACACAUGCUUUCAUUUCUCUUAGCAGUAACAAGGUUAGAAUAUAUGGCAGGUAUAUGUUUAACUUUUAAAUAAACUAACAAAGUGUUUUAUUGGGGAACCUGCCCCGAUAGCUACAUAGGUUCUUUUCUAUUUUCCCUAAGCAUCGGCCAGUUUGAGAAAUAAGGGGACAGAGUACAAAAGAGAGAAAUUUUAAAGCUGGGCUUCUGGGGGAGACAUCACAUGUCGGUAGGUUCUGUGAUGCCCCACAAGCCGCAAAACCAGCAAGUUUUUAUUAGGGACUUUCAAAAGGGGAGGGAGUGUACGAAUAGGGUGUGGGUCACAAAGAUCACGUACUUCACAAGGUAAUAGAAUAUCACAAGGCAAAUUGAGGCAGGGUGAGAUCACAGGACCACAGGACCAGGGCAAAAUUAAAAUUGCUAAUGAAUUUUCGGGCACCAUUGUCAUUGAUAACAUCUUAUCAGGAGACAGGGUUUUGAGAGCAACCCGUCUGACCAAAAUUUUUUAGGCGGGAAUUUCCUCUUCCUAAUAAGCCUGGAAGGACUAUGGGAGACUGGGGUUUAUUUCAUCCCUACUGUCUUGACCAUAGAAGAUGGCCACACCCAAGGGGGCCAUUUAUAGACCCACCCUCAGGGGCGUAUUCUCUUUCUCAGGGAUGUUCCUUGCUGAGAAAAAUAAUUCAGCAAUAUUUCUCCCAUUUGCUUUUGAAAGAAGAGAAAUAUGGCUCUGUUCCACCUGGCUCACAGAUGGUCAGAGUUUAAGGUUAUCUCUCUUAUUCUCUGAACAAUUGCCGUUAUCCUGUUCUUUUUUCAAGGUGCCCAGAUUUCAUAUUGUUCAAACACACAUGCUUUACAAUUUGGGCAGUUAACACAAUUAUCACAGGGUCCUGAGGUGACAUACUUCCUCCUCAGCUGGCAGGAUUAAGAGAUUAAAGUAAAGACAGGUCUAGGAAAUCACAAGGGUAUUGACUGGGGAAGUGAUAAGUGUCCAUGAAAUCUUCACAAUUUAUGUUUAGAGAUUAUGGCAAAGACAGGCAUAAGAAAUUAUAAAAGUAUUAAUUUGGGGAUCUAACAAAUGUCCAUGAAAUCUUCACAAUCCACGUUCUUCUGCCAUGGCUUUAGCCAGUCCCUCUGUUUGGGGUCCCUGACUUCCCGCAACAGAGUUUUCCAAAAUACUGGUAUCAUUUUAUAUUCCCGUCAUCAGUAUUUAACAGUUACAGGUCAAAUCCUGGCCAACACUUGGUAUUGUCAGGCUUCUUAGCUUUUUAAAAUGUAUUAAGUAUGUAGUCACUUAAUUGCAAAAGACCAUUUUGCUUUUAAUUUUUUCCCUAAUAAAUUAUAAUGUUGAUUAUCCUUUCAUGGUCUUAUUUGCCAUCCAUAUGUCUUAUUGAUAAAAUGUCUGCUUACAUUCAUUACAAAUUUAUACUAGGAUUUCAACAUUUUUAAAUCGUGGUAAAAUACACAUAAAUAAUAUAUCACUUUAACUAUUUUUAAGUGUACAGUAUACAGUGUUAAGUAUAGCCACAUGGUUGGGUAAUCUUUAUAACUUUUUCUUUUUGCAAAACUGAAACUCUAUACCCAUUAAAUAAACCUUAUUUUUUCCUCUCGUCAGCCCUCACAAUCACCAUGCUACUUUCUGUCUCUUUGAAUGUUACUACUCUGGAUACUUCAUAUAAGGGAAUCAUGUUGUAUUUGUCUUUCUGUUAUUGGCUUAUUUCACUUAGUAUAAUGUCCUCAAGGUUCAUCCAUAUUGUAAUACAUGUCAAAAUUUCCUUUAUUUUUAAGGCUGAAUAAUAUUUUGCACACACACACAUGCACGCACACACUGUUUUGUUCAUACAUUCAACCAUUGAUGGAUAUUUGGGUUUUUUCAACCUUUUGGAUACUGUGAAUAAUCCUGUUAUGAACAAAGGAGUACUAUUAAUAUAUUUUAAGUUCUUUUGGAAAUAUAUCUAGGAGUGAAAUUGCUGGAUUA